rnacentral:rRNA from 1 species
AUGCAAGUCGAACGAAGUAGCAAUACUUAGUGGCAGACGGGUGAGUAACAUGUAGGUAUCUGCCCUUUGGCCUGGAAUAACACGAGGAAACUUGUGCUAAUACCGGAUAAGUCUUUACGGAGAAAGCUUUAUGCACCAUUGGAUGAGCCUGCACUUGAUUAGUUUGUUGGUGGGGUAAUGGCCUACCAAGACUGUGAUCAAUAGCUGAUUUGAGAGGAUGAUCAGCCACAUUGGGACUGAGACACGGCCCAAACUCCUACGGGAGGCAGCAGUGGGGAAUCUUGCACAAUGGAGGAAACUCUGAUGCAGCGAUGCCGCGUGAGUGAAGAAGGCCCUUGGGUUGUAAAGCUCUUUCGUCGGGGAAGAAAAUGACUGUACCCGAAUAAGAAGGUCCGGCUAACUUCGUGCCAGCAGCCGCGGUAAUACGAAGGGACCUAGCGUAGUUCGGAAUUACUGGGCUUAAAGAGUUCGUAGGUGGUUGAAAAAGUUAGUGGUGAAAUCCCAGAGCUUAACUCUGGAACUGCCAUUAAAACUUUUCAGCUAGAGUAUGAUAGAGGAAAGCAGA